UUGUCUCAAAGAUUAAGCCAUGCAUGUCUCAGUACAAGCCGAAUUAAGGUGAAACCGCGAAAGGCUCAUUAAAUCAGUUAUGGUUCCUUAGAUCGUACCCAAAUUUACUUGGAUAACUGUGGUAAUUCUAGAGCUAAUACAUGCAAACAGAGCUCCGACCGGAGACGGAAGGAGCGCUUUUAUUAGAUCAAAACCAAUCGGCGGCGGGCGCAAGCUUGUCGUCGUUCAUUCUGGCGAAUCUGAAUAACUUUCUGCUGAUCGCACGGUCUAGCACCGGCGACGCAUCUUUCAAAUGUCUGCCUUAUCAACUGUCGAUGGUAGGUUCCGUGCCUACCAUGGUCGUAACGGGUAACGGGGAAUCAGGGUUCGAUUCCGGAGAGGGAGCCUGAGAAACGGCUACCACAUCCAAGGAAGGCAGCAGGCGCGCAAAUUACCCACUCCCGGCACGGGGAGGUAGUGACGAAAAAUAACGAUACGGGACUCAUCCGAGGCCCCGUAAUCGGAAUGAGUACACUCUAAACCCUAUAACGAGGAUCAAUUGGAGGGCAAGUCUGGUGCCAGCAGCCGCGGUAAUUCCAGCUCCAAUAGCGUAUAUUAAAGUUGUUGCGGUUAAAAAGCUCGUAGUCGAAUCUGUGUCUCGCGCCGCCGGUUCAUCGCUCGCGGUGUUUAACUGGCGUGUCUCGCGAGACGUCCUGCCGGUGGGCUUAGCUCGCGAGGGCGGCCCAACUCUUCGAAUCCCGCCGCGGUGCUCUUCAUUGAGUGUCGAGGCGGGCCGGCACGUUUACUUUGAACAAAUUAGAGUGCUUAAAGCAGGCUAAAACUUCGCCUGAAUACAGUGUGCAUGGAAUAAUGGAAUAGGACCUCGGUUCUAUUUUGUUGGUUUUCGGAACCCCGAGGUAAUGAUUAAUAGGAACGGAUGGGGGCAUUCGUAUUGCGACGUUAGAGGUGAAAUUCUUGGAUCGUCGCAAGACGGACGGAAGCGAAAGCAUUUGCCAAAAA
rnacentral:rRNA from 1 species